rnacentral:rRNA from 1 species
UGCUGGAACGCGCUUCGGCGCACCCAGAAACCCUUUGUGAACUUAUACCUAUCUGUUGCCUCGGCGCAGGCCGGCUUCUUCACUGAAGCCCCCUGGAGACAGGGAGCAGCCCGCCGGCGGCCAACUAAACUCUUGUUGCUACAGUGAAUCUCUGAGUAAAAAACAUAAAUGAAUCAAAACUUUCAACAACGGAUCUCUUGGUUCUGGCAUCGAUGAAGAACGCCGGAAAUGCGAUAAGUAAUGUGAAUUGCAGAAUUCAGUGAAUCCUCGAAUCUUUCACCGCAUUGCGCCUGGGGAUCCGGAGGGCAUGCCUGUUCGAGCGUCAUUUCAACCCUCAAGCCUGGCUUGGUGAUGGGGCACUACUUCCUCGCGGGAGUAGGCCCUGAAAUUCAGUGGCGAGCUCGCCAGGACCCCGAGCGUAGAGUUAUAUCUCGCUUUGGAAGGCCCUGGCGGUGCCCUGCCGUUAAACCCCCAACUUUUGAAAAUUUGACCUCGGAUCAGGUAGGAAUACCCGUUGAACUUAAGCAUAUCAAUAAUCGGAGGAAAAGAAACCAACAGGGAUUGCCCUAGUAACGGAGUGAAGCGGCAACAGCUCAAAUUUGAAAUCUGGCUUCGGGCCGAGUUGUAAUUUGCAGAGGAUGCUUCUGGCGCGGUGCCUUCCGAGUUCCCUGGAACGGGACGCCACAGAGGGGUGAGAGCCCCGUAUGGUCG